rnacentral:lncRNA from 1 species
UCUCCCUUGCAUGCUGGAUUCUCGACCCGUUGGGAUUUUCCAUUAGCAAGAAAAAUUCUUAAUUCCCUUGGGGGAUUAUUUCCCCCAAAAGAAAUUACCUCCCUUGUCCAUUGAAGUUAACCCAAUGCCUUGGGAAAUUUUUAUCCCAUGGAGGUGGGAUUUCCAAAUAUGUUGUAUUUCAAUCUAAGAACAGGAUUUAAAUUUGUAUUUCCAUUAGUGAAAAAAAUUAAAUAU